rnacentral:rRNA from 1 species
CCUACGGGAGGCAGCAGUGAGGAAUAUUGGUCAAUGGGCGCGAGCCUGAACCAGCCAAGUAGCGUGAAGGAUGACUGCCCUACGGGUUGUAAACUUCUUUUAUAAAGGAAUAAAGUGAGGCCCGUGUGCCUUUUUGUAUGUACUUUAUGAAUAAGGAUCGGCUAACUCCGUGCCAGAAGCAGCGGUACUACGGAGGAUCGGAGCGUUAUCCGGCUUUAUUUGGUUUAAAGGGAGCGUAGAUGGGUUGUUAAGUCAGUUGUGAAAGUUUGCGGCUCAACCGUAAAAUUGCAAUUGAUACUGGCAGCCUUGAGUACAGUUGAGGUAGGUGGAAUUCGUGGUGUAGCGGUGAAAGGCUUAGAUAUCACGAAGAACUCCGAUUGCGAAGGCAGCUUACUAAACUGCCACUGACAUUGAUGCUCGAAAGUGUGGGUAUCAAACAGGAUUAGAUACCCCGGUAGUC